ACGAACGCUGGCGGCAUGCCUAAUACAUGCAAGUCGAGCGGAGUUGAUAGGAAGCUUGCUUCCUUGAUACUUAGCGGCGGACGGGUGAGUAACACGUAGGCAACCUGCCCUCAAGUUUGGGACAACUACCGGAAACGGUAGCUAAUACCGAAUAAUUGUUUUCUUCGCCUGAAGGAAACUGGAAAGACGGAGCAAUCUGUCACUUGGGGAUGGGCCUGCGGCGCAUUAGCUAGUUGGUGAGGUAACGGCUCACCAAGGCGACGAUGCGUAGCCG
rnacentral:rRNA from 1 species